UACGGAAGGCAGCAGUGGGGAAUAUUGCACAAUGGGCGCAAGCCUGAUGCAGCCAUGCCGCGUGUAUGAAGAAGGCCUUCGGGUUGUAAAGUACUUUCAGUCGUGAGGAAGGUGUUAAGGUUAAUAACCUUAGCAAUUGACGUUAGCGACAGAAGAAGCACCGGCUAACUCCGUGCCAGCAGCCGCGGUAAUACGGAGGGUGCGAGCGUUAAUCGGAAUUACUGGGCGUAAAGGGCACGCAGGCGGUUAAUUAAGUUGGAUGUGAAAUCCCCGGGCUUAACCUGGAAAUGGCAUUCAAGACUGGUUAGCUAGAGUCUUGUAGAGGGGGUAGAAUUCCAUGUGUAGCGGUGAAAUGCGUAGAGAUGUGGAGGAAUACCGGUGGCGAAGGCGGCCCCUGGACAAAGACUGACGCUCAUGUGCGAAAGCGUGGGGAGCAAAC
rnacentral:rRNA from 1 species